AGGAGGCUCUGGCUGGAUUCCAGUUGUUACAGAGCUCGCUGGAGACUUCCUUCUCCCUGUGGCAUUUUCCCCGCUCCUCUGGCCGCCGAAGGAGUCCUGUGGUGCCGGGCAGGAAUGGGCUGCUUGGGGACCCAACGAGCUCCCAGAGCCUUUCCUGCUGCUUCCUCUACCCCUGUGUUUCGCUAGGCUCUCGAGAUGGACUCAGUUCCAGAUUGCCCAGCCUCACAUAUUCCUUCAUAGCAACACAAAGGGACUGAGACAAUAUAUAAGUUAACAUCUGCCAUGUAGUGGAGGUUCCAGAGAAAAAGUGAGAGAAGCUGAGUCUGCACCCUCAACAUGGAGGAAAUAAGCUCUCUUAGGACCAAGAACAGAGGACAGAGGAAGGACUCCAGCAUGAUGGGCACCAAGGGAUUUUGGUCCUUCUGAGAAAGAGGAGAGACAGGGUCUUCCUCUUUGCCUAAGCUGGAGCGCAUUGGUGUGAUCAUCGCUCACUGCUGCCUCAAACUCCUGGGCUCAUGCGACCCUCCCACCUCAGCCUCCUGACUAGUUGGGACUACAGAAUUGGUUCCUUCCAGUGAGUUCUUGGUCUCGCUGACUUCAAGAAUGAAGCCACAGACCUGUGCGAUGAGUGUUACAGCUCUUAAAGAUGGUGUGUCCAGAGUUUGUUCCUUCAGAUGUUCAGAUGUGUCCGGAGUUUCUUCCUUCUGGUGGGUUUGUCCUCUCGCUAACUUCCAAGAAUGAAGCCGUGGACGUUCACAGUGAGUAUUAGACCUCCUCAGGUUAGUGUGGACCCAAAGAGUGAGCGGCAGCAAGAUUUAUUAAGAGCAAAAGAACAAAGCUUCCACAACACGGAAAGGGACCCAAGCUGGUUGCCUCUGCUGGCUCGGGUGGCCAGGUUUUAUUCCCUUAUUUGGCCCCGCCCACAUUCCGCUGACUGGUCCAUUUUACACAGUGCUGAUUGGUCCAUUUUACAGAGUGCUGAUUGGUGCAUUUUUACAGAGUGCUGAUUGGUGUGUUUACAGUCCUUUGGCUAGACACAGAGUGCUGAUUGGUGUGUUUUUACAGAGUGCUGAUUGGUGCAUUUACAAUCCUUUAGCUAGACUCAGAGUGCUGAUUGGUGCGUUUUUACAGAGUGCUGAUUGGUGCGUUUACAAUCCUUUAGUUAGAUGCAGAGUGCUGAUUGGUGCGUUUACAAUCCUUUAGCUAGACACAGAGCACUGAUUGGUGCGUUUACAGUCCUUUAGCCAGACAGAAAAGUUCUCUAAGUCCCCACUCUACCCAGGAAGUCCAGCUGGCUUCACUUCUCAAUAUACGCAUUCCCUAUUUAAUUUUCCCAUUUUCUUGCGAUGCUUCUGUGUUUUGGCUUUGUGGAAAUCCAUUCUGCAUGCAAUACAGAACACAAAUUUGGCAAAAACAGUACUGGUGAUCAAAAAGCAGCACUGUUGCAUAAGUGUCUUCUUAUCCUACUAUGCACAUAAUUAUUUUCAAACUAGUCAGUAACUUAGCUGGCUUCCUCAGGCAAAUGCAGCUUUAAUUUAUUAAAAGCCCUGGAAUAUCAUCAGCUGGAAGGAAUGCCAACACAGGUAAAUGAGGCAUUUUUAAACUGACGUUUUCAUUCUUGCCGUGUUGUGCAGGCAAUCUACUCAUUUGAAUUUUUCUCCAAAUGCAUUGAGCUGAAUGGAAAAAAACAAACUUUAUUGGUAACACCCUGAAAUCCACUCUUGGAAAUCUUGAUUGCACCUAAUUCCAAAUCUGUCACUAUAGUUGGGGAUUCAACUGAAAUCCAUUUUCUUCUUUAUAAAGACAAUAACAAGGUCAAGAUCUAAGCAAACACACAAAUGUGAACAACAGGGAAAGAACCCAUUGACCUACCAAGACAGGCUGCCAACAGAAUUUUGAAGGCUUGCCAAGAUGCUUUUAUGGAGGUAGAGUGAAUGAGAUUCCGUAAGUGCAAAAUAAUCCUUUUAAGACUACCCAGAAAGUAAUAUAAGUGAACUAGUUAUAUAAGAUUCAGUGAGGACUACCAAAACAUUGGGAAGAAAUGUGGAUUUUAUCAUUCAAGGAAAUAUAAUUUUAUUGUAAGAUAUAAUCUUUGUUUUUGUAGUCAAAUAGAAACAUUCAUGCCUUAAUACAACGUUUGGUAAAAAGAACUGAAGAAGACACCAUAGAAGAUUUUAACAAACAAUGAACUCAUUAGCUAAAAGAUUUGUCAUGAAAUAAUGAUUGAUUUAGUUGUUUUCUAAAAUAUUUCUAGUGCCUAUUAGAUGUUGAAGGAGACUUUGAUCAUGAAGUGUGUUCUCUGAGGAGCUGCUAUUUUUAUUUUUAUAUUUGUUUGAAGUGAAUUGUCCUGCUAAUUCUUUAACAUAAAAUAUCUUCAAUUACAUGAUUCAACAUUUUAAAAAGUGAUUAAGACAGAAGAAUAUGUGCUGGGAUUUAUUUUUGGAUCUUUGAAGUAGCAAAGAGUAGCAGAACUCCUUAAUCCAUAGAGUGGUUAUUUUGCUGUAUGAUGACUCUUGUAUUUACUCCCUGAAUUACCCUUUCCACUAAAAAGUAUUAAUGAGACAUUAGUAGGCUAUAGAAAAAAAUACUUCUGAUCUACUUAGAAAUAUUCAUGAGGUUUUCUCCUGGUGGAUUCACAUCAAAUUUUAUUUUUUAAAACCCCAAGUAUUUUUAUUUGAUGAUUAAUAAGUAAGAUGGAGGCUGGUAGGUGGAAAUCGCCAGCAGGAAAAUAAAAUGCUUUGGCUAAGCCGACAACUGCUACUGUCCUCCUCUGUACAGACUCUCCUGCUGAAGACUCACGGAGGCUUAUUUCAAGUCUUCUUUAGUUCAUUACCUGCAUGUUCAAAUGGAGCUGGUACUGUGACUCACAGCUUUCUGUCCAAGAAUGCGAUUUGUACCUCUACAAAUCUUCUACACCUUCUUCAUCUAGUAAACACUUACUCUACAGGUCUCAUCUCAAAUCUAUUACUAUAUGCAACUAUAGUACAUAAGCAAGCCAUUUAAAAAUGUUAAAGGAAGAUAUGCAUUGAUAUGGGUUGGCUGUUUUCCCACCCAAAUCUCAUCUUGAAUCGUAGCUCCCAUAAUCCACACGUGUCAUGGGAGGGACCCAAUGGAAGGUAAUUAAAUAAUCGGGGUGGGUUUUUCCCAUGCUGCUCUCAUGAUAGUAAAUAAGUCUCAUGAAAUCUGAUGGUUUCAUAAUAUAAAGGGCAGUUCCCCUGCACAUGCUCUCUUGCCUGCCACCAUGUAAGAUGGGCCUUUGCUCCUCCUUUGCCUUCUGCCAUGAUUGUGAGGCCUCUCCAGCCAUGUGGAACUGUAAGUCCAUUAAAUCUCUUUUUCUUUAUAAAUUACCCAGUCUUGGAUAUCUCUUCAUAGGAGUGUGAAAAUGGACUAAUAGAUACAUAUAGGUACACAUACAUGUAUACAUAAAGCCAUUCCAAAAGACUUUGCUUCCUGAAGUUUGUAAAUGUAAACAAAUUUAUUGUACCAUCAUUUAGGUUACUACGUUGCUCACUAACAUAGAAACAAUAUCUAAAAUGGGUACUUAUAGGGUUAUUAAAAUAUAGUAUGAAUAUGGCUACUGGAAAAAAGUCAAAGAUAUAUUUUGAGGCCACUACUCUACGUCUCUUGAUGUUCUCUUGUACACAUUUGAUAUUGCACAAAAGCCAAAAGUUUGGACUCCUUUGAUUAAAGGCAAGGUCAAGUAAUCCUGCUGGUUCUACCUCUCCUCCCAUUUCUUAAAUGAAAGGAUGUAGUCAUAUAAGGUGCUGUUUAGUAAAAUGGUGCCGUGAAUUCAGCAUGAAAUGUCUGGGCAAGUGUUUUUCAAGUUGUCACAUAUAUACUAUAUUUAUCUUCCUCCUUUUCCCUCCUCAACCUCAGUCCCCAUCACCCAGUGUUUCAUAAGGUUUUACUUUCUGUAGCUUAUACUGUAAAACCAGGAGUUCCCUUCCUCCUCUCCCAAAUAUAACCUUUUCUAAUAAUAUUAAUUGCACUUUCCCUAACUAUACAUACCUCCCUGGAGAUUUUGAACUGUAAUUCUUUCUCUCCUCCAUUUUCCUUGAGCAUUUUUCAUCUAGUGGAAUAUUCGGUGGCAAAGCUCUCAUUCUGGAAGAAGUUUAGCCAUGUAAGCAUAGAAGAAAUAAGCCAACAAUGGUAAACAUAGUUAAUGCAUGUAGUUAAGUCUUCUAAACAUGUCACUUGAAUGAUGUCACAUUUUGCUUUUUCAAACUAGGAAUCAACAAAAUGGAGGAACAUUUGAGGUUUGUUAAGAAAUUUCCCUUCUUAGCCAUAGAACUAAGAUAUUUUUAAAUAAAGAAGAUCAUAGUGGGCCAUAAAUGAUGUGCCUUUCUAGGAUCCCAAAAUGUUUUAUUGAUUGAAUUAUAUAGAGAGAUUUAAUGGAACCGUGGUUGAAAAAUGCUUUUAAAGUCUUUGAUCACUGGGAUAUCAAUGGAACAAAUGGGUUAAAACAUUUUCAGAAUUUAAUCAUUUAUCUAGGUAACAGGGUUGGGGGUAAAUGGCGGGAGAGAAGGGGAGGGCCGGGGCAUUAAUGAAUAGUACUCCAUGUAAAAAGAAGAAUUGACUAGUAACAUCUGUACUAUUUAAAUUAACAGGCUGGCAUAUAUUGUUGUGCAGGUUUUGCAUUGCCCAAUUCUUGGGGGGGGCGGCAUUCACAUUUGUAGUCAUUAUGGGUUCCUCUAUUUAUAAUGCCAAUUUUCUAGCAGAUGUUGGUUUAUUGCCUUGAGAAACUGUUAGAUUCCUCUAAUUUUUGCAAAGAUGGCUUUGGGAAGUUGAAAGAUUACCUGAUUACUAUUAGAGAAUCCUGCUACCAAUACAUACUUGUCUUGUAUAAUUUGGGCAAAAUAUAAUAUUCCUGAAUCUUAGAUUCCUUGUUUGUAAAAUGUUUAAAAUAUAUCUAAAUGUAAGAAUUGUUGUAGCAUAUAUAUGUGAGUACAUGAAUGUGGCCGUCACAGCAGCUGUAAGUGGAAGAUAUUAUAAAUAUUGUUAAAACCUUCUGAUGUUUUAUUUUAAGCUGAUAGUUUUUCUUUAUGCUGACUUUACAGUGAGUUUUAAACAUACACUUGAGUUUAUCAUUUGUAUAUAACUACUGAUAGAAAUCUGAUGAAAAACACUAAUAGUAGUUUAUAAAAGAUUUUUUUCAAUAUGAACUUUUUGUUUCCAUUGUGAGAAAUUAAAUUUCAAAAUGUAAUUAUUAAAUGUAUGCCUGACUUUCAAAUGUUUUUCUAUAUCCAGCUAAUUAAAAAUAUUUAUAACGUAGUAGUAGUUAAAUGUCAUGUUCGCCUUAUUAGAAAGAAUGCCUUCAAAUCAGUAUUAUCAUGAUUACCAUUUAUUUAACAUCUUCAGUAUGCAGGGCAUUUAUAAAAUCUGUAGAAAUUAAUUUUCUCUAAAUGCAACAAGCUUUAUGACCAGCACUCACUGUCUAUAAAAGAUGACUUGCUUGGCAGAAGAGGAAACAGUUUCUUCAGACCUUCCAGCCACAGUCAGCCCUGGUGACAUUGCAUAUCAGCUUCUAAAGGGCCUCGCACAUUCCUUGGCUUGUGAUGUCCCUUCCCCAUCAUCAAAGACAGCAACGAAACUUCAGGCUACCAUACCUGCUUCAACUGUAGGAGAAUCUUAGUUCUGGAGAGUUGACCCUCCAGGCGAAGCAUUAGGCUUUGAUACAAUUUGUCUGGUACCGGCUGUAGAUCUGGUUUGGGCCCCAGACUAUCUUCCCUGUCCUCAAGAAUCAAAACCAACUUGGAAUGACUCCUGGCCCACUCAGCACCUUUCCGGAAGCCAGAAGAAUGAAGUGCCACACAUAUCAUCAGAGAGAAUUCCAAGGAAGAGGGAAUGGUCUAUAGUGUCUCAAGCCACAUUAAUCCUUCAAGAACAGUGUUAACUUUCUCAGGCUACUGGAACUCCACUUUUUGGAACUGUUAUAUUUACUGUUGGGGAGUGACUUUGGCACCAAGGAGAACUUGGCUCAAAUGAAUGGUUUUGGAUCACACAUCUUCAUGAUUUGGGAAUGAUAUGUGUGUUUAUUUUAUGAAAAAUGUUAGUAAUGAAGCAUUUAAAAUAUAUCAAAAGGAAAAUCUCCAAGAGUUGGUGAAUCAUGCUGUUGCCAAUAAUAGGCAUGUGACAUAACUGAACAUUUCAUCAUCUUCAGUAAAUAAUCAAGAUGAGAUGACAUGCUGGGUCUGUGAUCACCAGGGAUCCAAAUGCCUUCGAUCUUGGUGCUGGC
rnacentral:lncRNA from 1 species